rnacentral:rRNA from 1 species
AGAGUUUGAUCCUGGCUCAGAUUGAACGCUGGCGGCAUGCCUUACACAUGCAAGUCGAACGGCAGCACGGGAGCAAUCCUGGUGGCGAGUGGCGAACGGGUGAGUAAUAUAUCGGAACGUGCCCAGUCGUGGGGGAUAACGCAGCGAAAGCUGUGCUAAUACCGCAUACGAUCUACGGAUGAAAGCGGGGGAUCGCAAGACCUCGCGCGAUUGGAGCGGCCGAUAUCAGAUUAGGUUGUUGGUGGGGUAAAAGCCCACCAAGCCGACGAUCUGUAGCUGGUCUGAGAGGACGACCAGCCACACUGGAACUGAGACACGGUCCAGACUCCUACGGGAGGCAGCAGUGGGGAAUUUUGGACAAUGGGCGCAAGCCUGAUCCAGCAAUGCCGCGUGCAGGAUGAAGGCCUUCGGGUUGUAAACUGCUUUUGUACGGAACGAAACGGUCUGCUCUAAUACAGCGGGCUAAUGACGGUACCGUAAGAAUAAGCACCGGCUAACUACGUGCCAGCAGCCGCGGUAAUACGUAGGGUGCGAGCGUUAAUCGGAAUUACUGGGCGUAAAGCGUGCGCAGGCGGUUAUAUAAGACAGAUGUGAAAUCCCCGGGCUCAACCUGGGACCUGCAUUUGUGACUGUAUAGCUAGAGUGCGGCAGAGGGGGAUGGAAUUCCGCGUGUAGCAGUGAAAUGCGUAGAUAUGCGGAGGAACACCGAUGGCGAAGGCAAUCCCCUGGGCCUGCACUGACGCUCAUGCACGAAAGCGUGGGGAGCAAACAGGAUUAGAUACCCUGGUAGUCCACGCCCUAAACGAUGUCAACUGGUUGU